rnacentral:tRNA from 1 species
GCGCGGGUGGCGGAAUUGGCAGACGCACUAGCUUGAGGUGCUAGCGAGGUAACUCUCGUCGGGGUUCGAGUCCCCGCCCGCGCA